CAAAUCAUAGAAAAAUAAAAACGUGUUUGAGAGAACAAUCAUCUAAAUUAUGAUUAUGUUGAUAGGACAAAAGAUGCAUCAUUAUUGACGACUUACAAUGAUAGUUAAAGCUCAACAAACUACAAAAACAUGUUGAAAAGCCUAAAUAGAACAAGGUAAGAAGAUACUAGUGCCUCUCAGGGAUGGACAAAUUGUCUAUUCCCUAAAAUCAGCCCUAUUUGAUCCCCCAAAUUCAGGAUUUUUAUCCUAAAGGGAUUGAUGAAAAACUCAUCCAACAUGAUUUACUUUUAUUUCUUUUUUAACAUGGGAUACUCCUAGUUGAGAUACGUAAAUUAAUCUCUAGAAAUACUGAAAUCUAUUCAAGCUACUAAGCUCUCACAAAGCACAUUUUGGUACAUGGCCUUGUGUGGACAAAGGGUUAAAAAAAUACCUCAAUUACUGACACAGAUGAAAACCCAUGCAUAAUUUGUCCUUUUAAUACUAUAGAAGACACUAAAUGAAGCCAUCUGGCAUUUGCUUUUAUAUGUAAUAAAAUGCUAAGUCUAGUCUAAAAUUUUACAUUUGAUUCCUACAUGAUCUAUAACACGGUACGGUUCUUUUUCUCAUUUUCCACUCAAAGGCAUAAGUAUGCCUAGGCAUUGCUUCUUUAAUUGCCCCCCAACCCUUCCUUCACCCCUCCCCCAAAAAAUGAAAGGUAAAAUGGUCACUACUACAAAUGAACAUGGCAAAGCAACCUUGCUAGAGAUUUAAAAAAAUUGAACCAUGACUCAAAAUCGAACCUUUGGAGGCCUUCGUAUCAUAU
rnacentral:sRNA from 1 species